rnacentral:rRNA from 1 species
GGACGAACGCUGGCGGCGUGCCUGACACAUGCAAGUCGAACGGAGCUAUGCGCUGAACGGAGAGCAGCUUGCUGAAGGAAGUUCUUGUAUAGCUUAGUGGCGGACGGGUGAGUAACGCGUGAGCAACCUGCCUUUCAGAGGGGGAUAACGUUUGGAAACGAACGCUAAUACCGCAUAAGACCACACUUCCACAUGGGAGAGGGGUCAAAGGAGCAAUCCGCUGAAAGAUGGGCUCGCGUCCGAUUAGAUAGUUGGGGGGGUAACGGCCCACCAAGUCGACGAUCGGUAGCCGGACUGAGAGGUUGAACGGCCACAUUGGGACUGAGACACGGCCCAGACUCCUACGGGAGGCAGCAGUGAGGGAUAUUGGUCAAUGGGGGAAACCCUGAACCAGCAACGCCGCGUGAGGGAAGACGGUUUUCGGAUUGUAAACCUCUGUCCUCUGUGAAGAUAAUGACGGUAGCAGAGGAGGAAGCUCCGGCUAACUACGUGCCAGCA